CUCAUUAUUUUAUUGCACAGUGUUGAAGAGAAGGCAGACAGACCCACCAAGGCCCAAGCAGAGUUUUUAAUGCAGCGAAGACUUACGACCUCAGCGUGCUUCGUCAGUAAGCUCCCGGAAGGACACAGAUGCUGUAUGUUGGUUCCACUGAAACUUCCAGAGCCCCUCUCCAGGAUCCUGACUGGCAGAGCCCCUUACAACGUGGUCCACUUUCCCUGUUUCUAUUUGCAGACGAACAUUGCCGCGGAUGGACGCUGGAACUCUGCCAUGGUGGAGGAGCCAGAAGGCUGCGGCAGAUGAAGGCAUUUGCAUGGUCUCAAAAUGUCAGGGUGGUAUGGAUGUUCUCUCCAAGAGAAAAGCGAUUGAAGCAAGUGAUUUCCUGAAACACGUGACCUCGGAGAGCCCAGUGCUGUAGUUAAGAAACGACCAUCCAUGUUACAGAAACACCAUUCCUGGUCGUUCUGACGUCAGUCGUACGAUGAAGUGCCAGUUGCGGUGUGGAAAGAUGAUGCCUUGUUCAAAUUAGGAUAACCUCCAGCUAGGUCUAGCAUCCAUGCAAUUCAUGUAAUCCAAGAUUUUACUCACCUGAGGGAACAGACUAUUUUUGCUGGCCCCAGUUCACUUUCUUUCACACGUUUUACAAUGUGUGGUAUUUUAAUCAAUGUCAACCUGCAACUUUCAGAGUCGAGGCUUUGGAAAUGCCCGAUGUCUUUUUUUUUUUUUUCGUUCCUUUUCCCUUGGCAUCAUUUGACUCUACACAAAGCUAUAUGCCCCUUUCUUCACUGUAUGCCACACAUUAAAUUAAGCAUUAAUUAAAGAGUCUCUUGAAGAUCGAGACCUGCACUUCAUGCCUGCCCGUCCCAAGAAACAAGGAAGGAAAUUCUGACACUUAAAACAAAAAGGCACCAUGCAGGGAUAUGAAAUUGACUAUGAAAAGAACGGGGAGAAUGAUAUAGUUCAGAGUGCUGUGACAGAAGAACAGAGGAAAUAUAUGGCUGCCAGGGUUCAGUGGAAAGGGAGGGGGUAUGGAGGGCACCUGCAACAACAGAACUUAUCUGGGAGACCUUGGAGUUCCAGGCUUGUUUCGAGGCUUCUUGUCAACCAAGUCAUUGAUGGUUUUGAUCUUAGAUCAC